UACGGGGGGAGCAAGCGUUGUUCGGAUUUACUGGGCGUAAAGGGCGCGUAGGCGGCCAGCACAAGUCAGUUGUGAAAUCUCCGAGCUUAACUCGGAAAUUGCAAUGAAAACUGUCCGGCUAGAGGAUUGUAGGGGGGACUGGAAUUCUCGGUGUAGCAGUGAAAUGCGUAGAUAUCGAGAGGAACACCAGUGGCGAAGGCGAGUCCCUGGACAAAUCCUGACGCUGAGGCACGAAAGCUGGGGGAGCAAACAGG
rnacentral:rRNA from 1 species